rnacentral:RNase_P_RNA from 1 species
GGAGCGGAUGGGACGGUCGCUGGUGGUUGUGCCUUAGGUACGGCUGCUGGAGGAAAGUCCGGGCACCACAGGGCAGGAUGGUCGAUAACGUCGACCGGUCGCGAGACCAGGGCAAGUGCAACAGAAAGCAAACCGCCGAACGGUGCCCCGCUGGGGCAUGCGUGGUAAGGGUGAAACGGUGCGGUAAGAGCGCACCAGCGGCCGAGGCGACUCGGCCGGCUGGGUAAACCCCAUCCGGUGCUAGACCAAACAGGGUGACGUCGGCUCGACCGAUGCAAGGCGGCCCGCCUUGACCACACCCGGGUAGGUCGCGAUGGAGGCGGCGAGCAAUCGCCGUGCACAGAUAAAUGGCCGUCGCCGGCGGGUCAAACCCGUCGGACACAGAACCCGGCUUACAAGUCCGCUCCGCCG